CUUUUCUUCGUGAAGCAGAGAUUUCAACCUAAAUCAAAAUCGAGUCCAGCAUCUACAGAGAGGAAAUCAGAUGGAUCUAAGCUCGGGUUCAUCAAGAAACAGUAGGAACAGAGGUUAUGGUAAUCGCAAAAUGUGUGCUUGUCAGUUGCCUGCGAAGAUUUUCACGGCUUGGACAGAUAAGAAUCCUGGCCGAAGGUUCUAUGGGAGGGGGGGAAUGACCAUUGCUCUUACUUUGCGUGGUUUGAUGAAGAAGAAGUGAAAGGUUGGGCUAAGAGGGCUUUGAUUCAAGCUCGGGAUGAAAUACGAGAGAAGAAGAAACGUAUCAAUGAACUGACGGCCAGUAUCAAUGAGCUAACAGCUACUGUCAAUGAGCUUCGUAUGGAGUUGGAGCAGAAGAAGGUUGAGAAACCAGGUUCUCGUGAAAUGGUUGUGUAUCGGUGAUGCAUAAUAAUGUGAAUUGAGCUUAAUGUAAUGGUUUGUACUUUGUUAUUGGUGUAUCAGUCAUGCAUACAAUGGAAUGGUUAUGUAUCGGGUUGACCUUUAAUGUUGUUGAACAAUGUCAAUUGUGGAAUAUUUUCAUC